rnacentral:lncRNA from 1 species
GUCCAGCAACAGCACUGCAGGGUAGCAUCAAAAAGGAAACUGCCGUGGUGGUGCACGCCUUUAAUCCCAGCACUCGGGAGGCAGAGGCUGAGUUCGAGGCCAGCCUGGUCUACAAAGAGUUCCAGGACAUCCAGGGCUAUAUACAGAGAAACCCUGUCUCGAAAAAUCAAAAAAAAAAAAAAAAAAAAAAAAAAGGAAACUGUAGUGCCCACAUGGAAGAUUACAACUCCAGUCCCAGGACAAAUGGGACUCUACUGGACUUCAUGGCACCAGUCAUUUUAAUGGUACACCAACACAAAAAGGCAACACAUUCAUACACAUAAAAAAUAAAUAUUUUUAGGGUUGCUGAGAUGGCUCAGAGGUUAAGAGGCUGCUUUUGGAAGAGGAAGUGGUUCAAUUCUCAGUAUCCACAGUCAUCAGUAACUGCAUUUCCAUAUCAGCACACUCUUCUGGUCUCUAUGAGCACAGCAUUCAUGUGGUACACCUAAAACACGAUAAACAUGCCAGGCACAUGCCAGGCGGUGGUGGAGCACGCCUUUAAUCCCAGCACUCGGGAGGCAGAGGCAGGCGGAUUUCUGGCCAGCUUGGUCUACAAACUGAGUGCCAGGACUACACAGAGAAACCCUGUCUUGAAAAAAACAAACAAACAAAACCACCACGAUAAACAUGUAUGUACUUUCUGAGUCAUUAAAAGUGUCUUCUUGGAGGUAUUUUCUACCUGGUAAUAGGUGGGGAAGCAGACCAGGGCCUUGCUCGGCCAGCAUUAGAGAAGUAGAUGGGAAUAAAGACAGACCCACAACUGGACAGUGUGCAGGGUGAAACCUUGGAGUAGGGAUAGAGAACACCAAAUAACAGGACCUCUAAACCCAGCAUGGCUAACAGGUAUGAACUCAAGACUGGUGGCAUGCACAGGACCCGUGGGGGUCUAAGCCAGAAAAGGGCCACAGUGCUAAGAGGGGAAGACAACUCAACCCUAAUUCAGAAGCUAUCUCCAAUUGACAGCCAUUCACAAAUGGAAAAUUAUCUUCUCCAACAGAGUCUUACUGGAUAUACCAAGCACACUUUAAGGGCAGGCCACAAAAUGAACUCAACAGUAGUUUUGGAGGUGUUUGCCUCAUGCUGUUUGGACCUUUUGGUUGCAUGUUAUGGUUUCCAACUUUGUUUUACAAAUGUGUGAGCUUAUGCCUGUGUUUCUCAUCCUAUUCUGGUUUUGUUUUAUUUGCCUGUUUCUUUUCUAAUU